AACGAACGCUGGCGGCGUGGAUUAGGCAUGCAAGUCGAACGCGAAAGAGGGGGCAACCCCUUGAGUAGAGUGGCGAACGGGUGAGUAACGCGUGAGAAACCUGCCUUCGACAGGGGGGAUAACACUCCUAACGGGUGCUAAUACCGCAUGAGACCACGGAGUCGCAUGGCUCCGAGGUCAAAGGUGGCCUCUAUUUAUAAGCUACCGGUCGAAGAUGGUCUCGCGUCCCAUUAGCUAGUUGGCGGUGUAAAAGACCACCAAGGCGACGAUGGGUAGCUGGUCUGAGAGGAUGGUCAGCCACACUGGGACUGAGAUACGGCCAGACUCCUACGGAGGCAGCAGUGGGGAAUUUUGGACAAUGGGCGCAAGCCUGAUCCAGCAAUGCCGCGUGUGUGAAGAAGGCCUGCGGGUUGUAAAGGCACUUUCAGUGGGGAAGAACGGAUACGGGCCAAUACCCGCAUCACUGACGUUACCACAGAAGAAGC
rnacentral:rRNA from 1 species